rnacentral:rRNA from 1 species
ACUCUUACGGGAGGCAGCAGUGGGGAAUUUUGCACAAUGGGGGAAACCCUGAAGCCGCAACGCCGCGUGGGCGAUGAAGUCCGUUGGGUUGUAAACUCCUUCGUUCCGGACGAGAUGACAGUACC